rnacentral:rRNA from 1 species
CCUACGUGGCGCUGCAGUGAGGGAUAUUGGUCAAUGGGGGAAACCCUGAACCAGCAACGCCGCGUGAGGGAAGACGGUUUUCGGAUUGUAAACCUCUGUCCUCUGUGAAGAUCAUGAUGGUAGCAGAGGAGGAAGCUCCGGCUAACUACGUGCCAGCAGCCGCGGUAAUACGUAGGGAGCAAGCGUUGUCCGGAGUUACGGGUUGUAAAGUGUGCGUAGGCGGCCUUGCAAGUCAGAAGUGAAAUCCAUGGGCUUAACCCGGGAACUGCUUUUGAAACUGUAGGGCUUGAGUGAAGUAGAGGCAGGCGGAAGUCCCGGUGUAGCGGUGAAAUGCGUAGAGAUCGGGAGGAACACCAGUGGCGAAGGCGGCCUGCUGGGCUUUAACUGACGCUGAAGCACGAAAGCGUGGGUAGCAAACAGGAUUAGAUACCCUAGUAGUC